CUUCCGAUGCGAUUUAAUUUAUUGUUUCUCAUGGCAAACAGGCUGGAGGAGGAAAAGCUUCAGGGGUCAGCUUUCAAUGCAGUCUUUAUAAUGCGGUUUUCAUAACAGAGCGCUGUGCACGCUCUGAACAAAGUCUCUCUUACUUCUGCAUCAAGUGCUGUGAUGGUCUAAAUGAUGCCAUCGGCAUCAAGAUGAAGAGUGCUUUUCUGCAUCCCUUUUUUUCCCACAGAAUGGAAAAUACCAGCCUCUCUGCUAACUCCAGGAGUCCCCCAGCCAUCCUCUAGCAGGUCUCCAGGACGUUGGUGACUCCAGACUCGCAGUGCACUCAGGCUGGCAUCAGAGUAGCCCUGCUGUGGAAUCACAGAAUGACAUGGGGUUGGAAGGGGCCUCUGGAGAUCAUCUCAUCCAACCCCCCUGCCAAAACAGGUCCACCCAGAGCAGGUUGCACAGGAAUGUCUCCAGGUGGGUUUGGAAUGUCUCCAGAGAAGGAGACUCCACCACCUCUCUGGGCAGCCUCUUCCAGGGCUCUGCCACCCUCACAGGAAAGAAGUUCCUCCUCAUGUUUAGGUGGAAUUUCUUAUAUUCAAGUUUGUGCCCAUUUCCUCUUGUCCUAUACCUGGGCACCACUGAAAAAAGACUGGCCCCAUCCUCUUGACACCCACCCUUUAAGUAUUUAUAAGCAUUGAUCAGAUCCCCCCUCAGCCUUCUCUUCUCCAGACUAGAAAGACCCAAGUCCCUCAGCCUUUCCUCCUAAGAGAGAUGCUCCAGGCCCCUCAUCAUCUUUGUGGUCCUCUGUUGUACCCUCUCCAGCAGCUCCCUGAACUGGGGAGCCCAGAACUGGACACACUGCUCCAGAUGGGGGCCCACCAGGACAGAGCAGAGGGGGAGGAUGACCACGGUGGAAGCUGUGCUCUGCUUGGGGAUGUCUACACUCGCAUCGCAGUUCAGAGUGUUUUCUGCCUUGGUAUUUUUGAGUGGGCAAAUCCCAGCACUAGCAAAAUAUCUCUCCAACCUGAGCAUGGCUGCUUGGGACUUGUUACACCAACACGGAGGUGGGCAUAUGUUGAUUUUUUACAUGGAAACCCUUC
rnacentral:lncRNA from 1 species